ACUCUCUCUCAAUGAGGGGCAUCUUAAGAAUCGCAGUGAUGAGAUCACUUUCAUGCUUCUCUCUAGUCUCAUGCAUGCAAAUGAGCUGCUUUCAUUUUGAAGAGUGCUUUAAGAUAUAAAAAGAGACGCUCAGAGAAAUGGAGACUAAACUCUUCAGUGAAUGCCAUGCUUCUGUCUGAAACCGACACUCCCCUCUGGACACAGGAUCUUGAUCUUUCUGGUUUCCUAGAGGGUCUGCAGUUUUGAUCUCCCCUCUCCUUUCAAAGCUGGAGUGCUGUCAGAGGCGUGGAGACUAAUGCUGAAAAGAGUUCUCCUGGCAGUAGGGAGCACAGUCAGGCAGUCAGAAGCCACAAAUCUGCUGACAGAUUUGUGUCUGAGUGCUGAGGUCUCUGCUUGCAUGCGCUGCAAUGAAGGUAGUCUCUCGGCACAGAACAGAGCCUACGCAUAUGACUGUGUGCUUGUUUUAGAAAGGCCCUUCCAUGCCUCACCCCUUCCUCUGUUUCCUCUCUACUUUCUCCAUCUCUCUCUCUCUCCCUCUCUGUUCCUCCCAUGGGAAAGGCCUGGGGUCAGGGGUGUGUGCAUGGACCAGUGUGUACGUGUGGGUGUUGUCUUGUGUGCAUGUGUGUGUGUGUGUGUGCGUGUGUUGUGGGUGUCGUCUUGUGUGCAUGUGUGCGGGUGUGUGUGUGUGUGUGUGUUUGACGGCAGUGAUGAGCCCCAGUGCCAGGUGAGAUCAUGGGAAGCACAUGUAGGCCCUGCAGGAGCACACAGCAGCUGGUCCCGAAACCGCCACAGCGGGAGCCGCCUCGGCCUGGGCUGCUGCUGGAAACUUCUGACCCCGCGUUCCCGCCGGGCCUCCGCCUCUAAAGCAGCACGGGGCCACGAGGCCAAUUAGUUCCAGAGGUGGAACCGGCUUUGGCCCCCUCGGCUUCCUGCUGCCUCGGAGCUGUUGCACGAGCUCCAUUUUAGGGGGGGGGGGAGUGUCAAACUGAUGGUUGGUUACAUAAAAAAAAAGAAACUGGAGCAGGAAAAACAGGGCUGUUCAGCUCGCUGGAUAUGUUUAACAAGCAGCACGGGUGAAUGGAAUGAAAAUGAAAAAUGAAUGAAAAAUGAAUGGGUGAUUUUCCCCCCAUUACUAUUUAAAGAGUGGACGUGGAAUAACAGAGAGCACCAUGGGUAGCCGGACUUGGAGUUUUGCCGAGUCAAGGUGCCCCGAGGCCACUUCCUGCAUGGUUGGUGUGUGUGCAGCUAAAACAAGCUGAG